GAUGAACGCUGGCGGCGUGCCUAAUACAUGCAAGUCGAGCGAACGGACGAGAAGCUUGCUUCUCUGAUGUUAGCGGCGGACGGGUGAGUAACACGUGGAUAACCUACCUAUAAGACUGGGAUAACUUCGGGAAACCGUAGCUAAUACCGGAUAAUAUUUUGAACCGCAUGGUUCAAAAGUGAAAGACGGUAUUGCUGUCACUUAUAGAUGGAUCCGCGCUGCAUUAGCUAGUUGGUAAGGUAACGGGUUACCAAGGCAACGAUGCAUAGCCGACCUGAGAGGGUGAUCGGCCACACGGAAACUGAGACACGGCCCAGACUCCUACGGGAGGCAGCAGUAGGGAAUCUUCCGCAAUGGGCGAAAGCCUGACGGAGCAACGCCGCGUGAGUGAUGAAGGUCUUCGGAUCGUAAAACUCUGUUAUUAGGGAAGAACAUAUGUGUAAGUAACUGUGCACAUCUUGACGGUACCUAAUCAGAAAGCCACGGCUAACUACGUG
rnacentral:rRNA from 1 species